UACGUAGGGAGCAAGCGUUUGUCCGGAAUCAUUGGGCGUAAAGCGCGCGUAGGCGGCCUCGUAAGUCCGUUGUGAAAGUCAAAGGCUCAACCUUUGAAAGCCGAUGGAUACUGUGAGGCUAGAGUCCGGAAGAGGCGAGUGGAAUUCCUGGUGUAGCGGUGGAAUGCGCAGAUAUCAGGAGGAACACCAAUAGCGAAGGCAGCUCGCUGGGACGGUACUGACGCUAAGGCGCGAAAGCGUGGGGAGCGAACA
rnacentral:rRNA from 1 species